AUGGAUUAGAUACCCUGGUAGUCCACGCCGUAAACGGUGGGCGCUAGUUGUGCGAACCUUCCACGGUUUGUGCGACGCAGCUAACGCAUUAAGCGCCCCGCCUGGGGAGUACGAUCGCAAGAUUAAAACUCAAAGGAAUUGACGGGGCCCCGCACAAGCAGCGGAGCAUGCGGCUUAAUUCGACGCAACGCGAAGAACCUUACCAAGGCUUGACAUAUACAGGAAUACGGCAGAGAUGUCGUAGCCGCAAGGUCUGUAUACAGGUGGUGCACGGCCGUCGUCAGCU
rnacentral:rRNA from 1 species